rnacentral:rRNA from 1 species
GAUGUUAGCGGCGGACGGGUGAGUAACACGUGGGUAACCUGCCUGUAAGACUGGGAUAACUCCGGGAAACCGGGGCUAAUACCGGAUGGUUGUCUGAACCGCAUGGUUCAGACAUAAAAGGUGGCUUCGGCUACCACUUACAGAUGGACCCGCGGCGCAUUAGCUAGUUGGUGAGGUAACGGCUCACCAAGGCGACGAUGCGUAGCCGACCUGAGAGGGUGAUCGGCCACACUGGGACUGAGACACGGCCCAGACUCCUACGGGAGGCAGCAGUAGGGAAUCUUCCGCAAUGGACGAAAGUCUGACGGAGCAACGCCGCGUGAGUGAGGAAGGUUUUCGGAUCGUAAAGCUCUGUUGUUAGGGAAGAACAAGUGCCGUUCAAAUAGGGCGGCACCUUGACGGGACCUAACCAGAAAGCCACGGCUAACUACGGGGCCAGCAGCCGCGGUAAUACGUAGGUGGCAAGCGUUGUCCGGAAUUAUUGGGCGUAAAGGGCUCGCAGGCGGUUUCUUAAGUCUGAUGUGAAAGCCCCCGGCUCAA